GAAACAUGCCCUGACUGAAGGUGACAGACCAAGCUUCACCGAGGUCUGCGCUCUGCCUGGGGCCUGUGCCGGGAAGAGGAGCACAGAGAGGGAGCAACGCGGGCUUCAGAAUUUCACCCAUGAUUCCUUCAUCAAACCCAUAACUUCUGGUUGAGCUAGAGCAUUUUCUUCUAGAAAGGCAUCCUGUCUUGAUGUAAAGGCUUCAAGUGACGGAGAGUCCACCACAUCCGUAGUCUGAAGAAAGAGAGAUCCUGUGCCGUGAGCCAAGAAAAAUACAGAAGACACGAGACUUGGGCCAGAUUGUUUCCUAGUGAGAAUGUGCUCCAGCAGGCAUGGAAGGAUGCAACGCUGAGCGUCCUUCACUCCCACUGAACACGACGUGGACUGAGGACGCUAAAAACCUUGCAGGGUCUGGCUGAAUCUGGCAAUGGCCCCAACACCUUCUAGGAAGGGAAGGCCGGAGGAGGUGAGCUGUCUGAAUGGUGGCCCUUUUGCACUGAGGAAAGCUGAGACACUUGUGCAGUCCUGCCUUUUCUAUUAGAUUUGCCCUCCCAGUGGGUUAGGUAAACCCAUCUCUGUCCCUCUGUGUCCUGUUCUCCAAAGAUAAGUAGC